UUAAAAUAUUGCUCACUUCAAUAAUUAUCAGCUACUUUAAAAAAAAAAAAUUGACAUCUUUCCGAAUCCAACUGGUUGUCUUUAUCUUCAACCAUAUCUUGUUCAAACUCUCAUCAUUAAUCACAAAAUGACAUUGAAAUUAGAAAACCAAGUAUCAAGUUUCUCUCUUCUGAUCUUCAAUUAUUUCCAAAAUGCUUUUAAUUCCUAGAAUUUAACAGAUUCGAUAAGUCCAUAAUAGAAAGAGAAUUAUUCAAUCAUUCAAAAGUGUUCCUUUAAAGGAGAAAGAGAGAAAGAGAGAGAGAGAGAGAGAGAGAGAGAGAGAGAGAGAGAGAGAGAGAGAAAGAGACCUCGUUUCUGGUUCGAUUUUGGUUUUUGAAUGAUGAAGAUGGAUUCUUGGAUCCUUCCCAAUUUUUUUCAAUUCCAUUUGUUUGGCGAGUUGGCGCAGUUUUUCCAUGCAUUGCGAUUCAAUUCAUUUCUGAGGCAGCUGAGACUGUUAUCGCUGUACUAGAAAAACAUUCCAGGUGGUCCUGUAAAAGCGGGUCGACUGAAUGCAUUUCAAAGGCCCCCACGUGGUCCCCAUGAUUGCGCAAUCGUUCGCCCUACGAGCACAGAGGCCGAUGAUGCUGAAAAUUACACGCCACGUUGUUUAACUACUGAGAAAGAAAAGACUUCUUUGUCGUCGAUCUCUUGUUUUUCUCCUCUUUUUUAGUUGCUGUUAAAAUUAGUUCUCAACCGCACCUUCUCAUUUUUUUUUUAUACGUAUUUCUUAUUGAUGGCUUAAACAAGCUUGACAUAAAAUCAUUGAUAAUUCUAAACACAGUCACAGUGAUUUUGCAACUUGCAAUUAGCAGAAGAGAACAGAGAUGUCCCUUCAGAUUUCAACUUUUCAUAUUUUUUCUUCUUCAAAUAUUAUCCAAGAAGUAAUUUCAGAAAGAAAUUUUUCAUUGGUGAAAUUGAUCUCUGGUGUGAAUAUACGCUCUACGUUUCAAAGUUCUUUUGGAAACGGAUAGAAGAAAGAACGCGACAAUAUGCGUAACACUGUAAAAUUCGACGACAGGCUCGUCCUCACCAUGCGUAAAGCAGAUGUUCGUGUUUUACUUGAUGCCAGCCGGCGUUUCGAGCUGGGGUUUGCAGGCUUUCCGCCACACAGGAGAAAAGGGGCAAAAGCAGAGAAGGGGAGGGAAAACGACGAGGGUGACGGUGGCUAGCGAACUAGAAAAAUCCCCUGUAUCCGUGUCAAGAAGACUACUGGCUCUGAUUCUUAAACGUUACGCGCAUCAAGCACGUUUUCCAAGCCAGAAUUUGCUCUUCAAUUUGAUCAAAAUUUUACGUAUAUCGACUCAAGAUGAGGAACAACAUCUUACGGUGAAAAAAAAAAGAAAGAAAUUACCGAGAAAAUCUUCUUUGAUUUUUUUUAAAGUAUUAGAUCAGCAUGGUUUGAUGGUUUCGGGCCAUUGAUACUAAUGGUUCCUUAUUAGUUUCUGCAACGUGUUUUUAGCAAGUUAAAGGUAUGGAAAUCGUUUGUCCCAACUGAUAGCAGUAGGAUUAUUGAAAGAGAAAAAAAAAAAGAAAGAAAGAAAAGAAUUGAUUUACCUUGCAGAUACUGUUUCAAGAGUAUUCAUUUAAUAUUUAUUUGUAACUAUUUAGAUUCAGGUUUAAACCAGAGAGAGAGAGAAAGAGUCUUCAUCUAAAGUUUAUGCAAUUUUCUUUUUUCAUGGGCUUAACAUACACGUCAAACUUCCAAAUAUAAUUUCAUCUUAUGUCUGUUAUGAUAAGGUGUGAAUCUCGUAGGAAGAACUGCAGAAAAUUGUACAUUUCAUUUAUUUUCAGCCUGGAAUUUUUCAAAGUGGAAAAGGAAAUGUCCAAGGUUUCCAUGUCUUUUUGUUGUGCUUAGCUAUGAAUCUAUCAAAGGUGAUAUCUCGUGCAGCUAUCCGCCCCUUCCUGUUUCCUCUUUGCAACUAGCUGGGCUAAUCUUUAAACCACAGCAUCCUGUGGGUGUACAAAUGUGAAGCAGUUAUAAAGUUUCUGCCCGAGUGACAAAAAUACUCAGUCAAAAGACACUCGCUCUGGAGUGUACGCAUCGUGGACCGAACUGGUCUUUAGUUUUUACACAUCCUUAUGUUCCAACAUGGAAAUCUCAGUGUUACACAGUGUGUAUACGAUGUGACACGAAAGUUACAUGACAUGUUAUUGUCACAGGGGAGUGUUCUGGAAAUUAGUGGAAAUAAUCUCGAAACUGGCUACGUUGCGGCUCGUCAUCGGGCACUUUGCUGCUUUUCAAAAAUGCAAGCUGCCUUUUGAAGGGCAACACCGUACUCAGUGAAUCACAUUCAAGUGAACAGUUUUUUCUUUUCUUUUCUUUCACGUCGUUAGCAAUCGCUGAACUUUUUUUCUUUUCUUUUCUUUCCUUUGUUCUUUGUACAAGUAUCUAGAAAUAAAAAAGAAAAAAAAAAACGAGAAACAGAAGAGAAAAUCGUGCCUUCGGUACGAUUACAAUAAAUAAUCAUGCAUUCCGAACAAUUUGUUAACUAUUCUUUUUUUCUCGUCCUUUAUCAAUAAACACACAACCAGCAGA